rnacentral:rRNA from 1 species
GAUGAACGCUAGCGGCAGGCUUAACACAUGCAAGUCGAGGGGCAGCAUGAGACGGAGAUUCGUCAAAGUCUUGAUGGCGACCGGCGCAAGGGUGCGUAACGCGUGAGCAACUUGCCCGUUUCAGGGGGAUAACCGGUGGAAACGCCGACUAAUACCCCAUAGCAUUGGUUUGAGGCAUCUCUUACCAAUUAAAGAAUUUCGGAAACGGAUAGGCUCGCGUGACAUUAGCUAGAUGGCGGGGUAACGGCCCACCAUGGCGACGAUCGGUAGCCGACCUGAGAGGGUGAUCGGCCACAUUGGAACUGAGAUACGGUCCAGACUCCUACGGGAGGCAGCAGUGGGGAAUAUUGGGCAAUGGGGCGAAAGCCUGACCCAGCAACGCCGCGUGAAGGAAGAAGGCUUUCGGGUUGUAAACUUCUUUUACCAGGGACGAAGAACGUGACGGUACCUGGAGAAAAAGCAAACGGCUAACUACGUG